GUGCCAGCAGCCGCGGUAAUACGGAGGAUGCAAGCGUUAUCCGGACUGAUUGGGUGUAAAGCAUCUGUAGUCGGUUUUGGAAGUCUACGGUUAAAUCCCAGAGCUUAACUUUGGUUCAGCCGUAGAGUACUUCAAAGCUUGAGUAUGGUAGGGGUAGAGGGAACUUCUCGUGGAGCGGUGAAAUGCGUAGAUAUCGAGAGGAACACCAGGGGCGAAGGCGAGUCUCUGGACGAUUCCUGACACUGAGGCACGAAAGCUAGGGGAGCAAACAGGAUUAGAUACCCUGGUAGUCCUAGCUGUAAACGGUGCGCACUUGCUGUGAGCGGAAUCGACCCCGUUCGUGGCGAAGCUAACGCGUUAAGUGCGCCGCCUGGGGAGUACGGUCCGCAAGAUUAAAACUCAAAGAAAUUGACGGGGGCCUGCACAAGCGGUGGAGUAUGUGGCUUAAUUCGAUGCAACGCGAAGAACCUUACCUGGCCUUGACCAUGCAAGUGGUAGAAGCCCGAAAGGGUGACGACUCCGCAAGGGGAGCUUGCACAGGUGCUGCAUGGCUGUCCUCAGCUCGUGUCGUGAAAUGUUUGGGGUUAAGUCCCGCAACGAGCGCAACCCUUGUGCCCUGUUGCCAACCCUGCUUCGGGGGGGGGCACUCUGGGGCAAACUGCCUCGUCUAAACGGGGAAGAAAGGGGGGGAUGACCCCAAUUCAGUAUGGCCCUUACGGCCAGGCUUGCACACGUACUACAAUGCCCGGUACAGAGGGAUGCGAGACUGCAAGGUGGAGCAAAUCCCUAAAAACCGGGCCCAGUUCAGAUUGUCGUCUGCAACUCGACGGCA
rnacentral:rRNA from 1 species